AUCUUUAACAGGUAUAUAGGGUACCUAGACGGUGUGCAAAGGCUUGUAAAUAAGUACCUGCUACACUUGAGUUUGAUAUGGGAGAGGAUUAUGUCGGAAUUUUUGGUGGAAAGAUGAAAUUUAUUGAUACCAAGAAGACUGGUAACGGCGAAGGCAAACCUCUAUGUACAAAAAAGGUAAAAAAAUAACUGAACACUAUUUUUAGUGCUUUUAUUUUUUUUUAGUGUAUUUAUUACACACCAACCAUUUUUUUAAACUGACGUUGAGGGACGAAGGCUCAGAUAGUGAAGAGGAUUAGAUACCCCCGUAGCCUGGGCAGACAAUGAUGAGUGCCAUAGAUUGGCCUUAGGUGGAACUAUAAAUGAAAGUGUAAGCACUCCACCUCAAGAGUAAUGUGGCAACGCAGGAACUGAAAUCAUUAGACCGUUUCUGAAACCAGUAGUGAAGUAUGUUAUUUAAUUCGAUGAUCCUCGAAUAACCUUACCACAAUUUGAAUGACCUAAAAUAUUUUUUAAGUUUUUAGACCACAUGCGUUGCAUGGCUGUCUUCAGUUAAUGUCGUGAGAUUUGGUUAGGUCCAUUAAAUUAACGUAAACCCUUGCUUUA
rnacentral:rRNA from 1 species